GAACUGAAGAGUUUGAUCAUGGCUCAGAUUGAACGCUGGCGGCAGGCCUAACACAUGCAAGUCGAGCGGAUGAAGGGAGCUUGCUCCUGGAUUCAGCGGCGGACGGGUGAGUAAUGCCUAGGAAUCUGCCUGGUAGUGGGGGAUAACGUCCGGAAACGGGCGCUAAUACCGCAUACGUCCUGAGGGAGAAAGUGGGGGAUCUUCGGACCUCACGCUAUC
rnacentral:rRNA from 1 species